AAUAAACAUAAUUUAUUUGAUUCUGCUAUUUCCUUUUUCAAUUGCUUGAUUUAGCAAUCUCGGUAAUGGUCUUUAACAAAUUCUUUAUUUAUUUUCCUAAACAGAAAAAAGAGGAAAAAAAUGAAAAGAAGCUGCAAAGAGAUUAAUUCCAUCACGAUACCUCAUUUUCCUCAGCAGAAUGAGAACUGCAGAAUUAGCACAGAUUUCUGCUACUUGAGCUAAUGAAGUGCCACUACCAGUCACGGGUUGUCAUCCUCUGAGUAAAGCACUCCCAGAAGAGGAUCGCUGAUGGGCAAUGACAGGAUAUUUUCCACGUUUCAAAGGUUUCUCCGUAUGAUUGCAAAUAAGAAAAAUUAUGGAAGCAUCUUAUUCUGCAAUUAUUCCAUAUUCUCUGACCGACAUGGCUUACUCUUCCCUCUUGCUGUAUUCUCUUCUGUGCAGAUUUUGCUAAAGACUCACACCAGGGAAGUGAAAAAAGAUGUCAUAUUGGGCUUCCUUUCCAUGCGUGUUUACCUACGACCAUUGCUACUGAUGCCAAAAGUGACUGAUAAAGCAACAUUUUUUUUUCUCCGCCACUCUCACUAAAAAAGAAAAAGAAGUUUAGGAAGUCCCUUUUCAGGAAUGAAGCCAAGGUGGAAUCUCAUCCUGGUGGGUUACAGCCUCCCAAUGGAGCUGGGUGACUUGAGAAACACUGUUCUGUACGUCCAAAUUCUCUUUGGACCUUCCCAGAAACAUACAUUAACAGUAGUUUGCAGUGCUUAAUUUUUUUUCUAACAACAGUGCUAAUGCUAACAAGAGCCCAAGUAGGAAGCCCUCAUCAGAGAAAGAGACAGGGGCAAGGGAAGUGCUUAGGCAGGUAGGGAGCUAAGCACUCAAUUAUUACUGAAUUUCAAAUCCACAGGCACUACAGCUAUACCCCCUGCCUUAUAAUUCCUGAGAUUACUGAGUUUUAUCAACAGAAGCUGAGGCCCCCACCGGAUAAUUCCCGAGUUCCUUGAAAUGAGUCUAAUACCCAACAGGGUUACUUGUGCUGCUGCAGAAAGCUAUUUCUGGCCUUUUACGUGUCAGAAAAGAAACUGGAUGUGACGGAUUUGGAGCUGCCCUGGGAUAAUUUAGGAAUAUGGUCUGUUGGCCUGAUUAUUUGGAUGAAUGUCUGAGUUUAACUCAUCAGGGGUUUGCUUGCCACUGUACUCUUAAAUAAUCGCUGGGCUGGUCUAUACUUGCAACCCUGGGAUGCCCCACUUCCAUUGGGGCCACACAGCCAUGGAGCAUGGGGACUUGGAAGGGGAAGAGAUUCAGUUUUGAACCCCAGGCAGUCCUAGCAUCCUGCUCAUUCCUAGAAGAGAUGUAGGUCUCCAAAAGUCCACUGGGGAUUAGAUAUGGGACCUGUAACUGCUUGAUAAAGUGACUGGAUAGAGCAUUUUUGUGAGCAUCCAAUGCUGAUAAAGGGCAGGUGCCAAGAGGAUGGGGCCAUUUUUUUUUUUCAGUGGUGCCCAGUGACAGGACAAGAGGUAAUAGGCACAAACUUGAACAUAGGAAGUUCCAUCUAAACUUGAGGAGGAACUUUUUUACUUUGAGGGUGGCAGAGCACUGGAACAGGCUGUCCAGGGAGGUGGGGGACUCUCCAUCUCUGGAGACAUUCAAAACCCGCCUGGACACGUUCCUGUGCAACCUGUUCUAGGAUGACUUGCUUUGGCAGGGGGGCUGGACUAGAUGAUCUCCAGAGGUCCCUUCCAACCCCAUGUGAUUCUGUGAUUCUGUGACUGUUGGGGGACAUUACUUGGGAUGUGUUCACAUUUAGCCAUGCUAAUUCCAUGUGUUUGUGAAAUUUUCUAUGGAACUGAAGGAUAUCCCCAAAAAAUAAAUUUUGGAAGAAAAAGGGUUUGUGAAUCCCA
rnacentral:lncRNA from 1 species